rnacentral:lncRNA from 1 species
GUUGGUAUUAAAUAAAUGCUUAGUGUUGAGUCGGCUGUCUCACCAGCUGAGAAAUAACCUUGUCUGUCUCUUUGACAUCUUCCCUUAAAGCUACUUGGAUGCAUAGUAUAAGAAAUAGCCUGAGUUCCUGGGGAUGUUUACACUAUCAGAAUGCUAGGGAACAGGGUUGACAAGAGUGACAGCGUUGAGUGAAAAGAAAGUUUAUUUAUAUGUUUGUGUGUGUGUAUAUACACACACACUAUACAUACUAAACUCGUAUAUACACAUAUGAAACACGUCUCGACUGGGAGCAAGGGAACUGCAAGAUAACAGGUUAAAAUGCUCUCAGAAACGUAAACAGAACUUGAAAUAUUAUUUUAUUUUUCCUACUGGAUAACUGAACAGUAAGCAUGAGGGCAAAGGAAAUGCAAGGAGGGAAGAGAAAGGAUUCCAAGGUAGAAGGAGAAAAAGGCAGAGAGACACAAGAGAUAUAACAUGGUUAUAAUGAGAUGGGAGAGGGGAGGGAAAGAUGGAAAAAGGGGAGAGAGAGAGAGAGAGAGAGAGAGAGAGAGAGAGAGAGAGAGAGAGGAGGGAUGGGGUGGGCGAAUUGGAGAGAGUUGGACGGAGUAUUCCACAUCUUUAAGGGAAAUUCUCUAGAUGGGAAGAGACGCACAAAUUUUGCAUGACAAGUAGAGACUGGCUCUCCUGGGAGUUCCCUGUUUGGAGAGCGGGCAAGCAAGAGAUCUCCCUGCUGCCUGGGAGAGGCUGCAGCUUUGGGCCCUAAAGCCCUGCCCCCUCAGUUCCUUCUUCCCUCCCCCUCCCGUCUACUCUGUACACAGUGCAUUUCCCUCUCUUUUUCUCAUUCUCUAGACUGGUUUUUCUGGUUCAGCCUCUCACCCUGGGACGCGCUGGGGGAUCCGAUGACGUCGCUGGCCGAGCUUUCCUCUCUCUCUCUCUCUCUCUCUCUCUCGGCCGCGCUCCCUUUCUCCCUCUCUUACUUCUCCUUGUAACUUCUGUUCUGGGAAGUGGUGCCAGGAAUAACCCUGUCUGACUACAGAUCAGAAAGGCUGCUGCUUCCUCAUCCAGAAAACUGCGGCUCUGGCCUCUCUUCUCCCUCUCAAGCCCAGCUUCACCUUAUGUCUGUCGCACUGUGUACAGUAUAAGAAAAUAAAUAAAGGAAAGAGGAGCCUUGACUGUCGGGAUCUCUUCCCUCCCUCCCUCUGUCCUUAAGGAAAUGCUACCAGACACCCCCCAACCCGCACAAGCUUAGCAAGGAGCAACCUCAGCAGCAGAAACAACAAGGGCACCAGGGGGUUUUUCCUCCUCCUCUUCCUCCUCCUCCUUCUCUUCCUCCUCCACGGUGACUUUCAGGUGAGCAGCAGCUGCUGCUGUGAGGAACCCCCUUCCUCGCUCCCCUGUCAAGGUAUCCCCUCCUCCUGCCCCUGUCACUCGGAGCCGGCCAGGAGCUGACAGUCGCCGGAGGGGCUUGCGGAAGAGAGGCGGGGAGGCGGGCGGGCGGGAGGUGUGGGAGUGGAGAGGAAAGGGGGACGCCGGGGGAGUGCUGUCUUUCUUAAGAAGAGGAGGGUCUUUAAAAAAAAAAUCUUUCCUGACUGUGGCACAAGUAUUUGCCAAGUUGUGUCUUGGACGUUGAAGCUACUGGCCGCACUGGAGCAACUUACAAGGUCUUUUCCUCUCUUUCCAAAAUCCACAUACUUUGGGUUGUUGGGUGCUGCCUCGGGGUACAUUGAGGGUGUAUCCGUCAUUUGGGAAAGAAACGGUGACUAUAGGCUAGCCAUCUGAUGGGUGGAGACUUUGGAAUUUUAAAGAAGACAGUCAAUAAUCAUACUCACCUGAAUGAUGAAACAAAUUGCCAUGGCUGGAACCAAUGAUUACUAAAUCUUUACUAUCAGCAGUCAGUGGAACCAUCACAUUUGAACUCUAACAUCUCAGUCCCUGAUGUACUAUAUGAGGAAAUGGAAAUGGCACCAAAAAGAUGAAGAUGGAGAAAAACAGCUGGACCCGACCAAGUACACACAGAGGAAUUCCUUGAUGGAGGCAACACAGUUUUAAAGGCAUUAAGGGACUUAUUUCCAAGGUAUCUGAAAGAGGAGAUUAUACCACAUAUUUGAAAACAAUUAUGGGCAGUAUUCAGUUUUUUGGUACUUCAGUGGAUUUGUUUAUUCAUUAUUGUGGACAUUCCACAAUAUGAGAAUUAGUAAAAAAAAAUUUGAGUCCCUUCAUGCCUUCUCAUCUUGAAUGAUUUUUGUCCAUGUUUCUCCCAUAAAUUCUCCAGGGAAGGGGUAUCCAAUGUGCUUUAGAAUUAUUUUGAUGUCUUUAUGAUCUGUGAAAAUCAAUGCAAUACUUGGGCAGUCUUUUCAUUUCAAAUCAUGAAAAUGACUCCUUCCCCCUUCCCCAAAGACAAUCAAAACAGCAUAAAUAAAAAUUAAUUAUACAUCUAUUUUCUAUAAAAUCUUAAGGAAUAUAAACUAUUCUUAUAUCAAAAACAUCCUUGAUGAAAAUAUGAGGAGAUAAAGAAAGAAUUUUACAAAUUAUUUUCUGCAACCACUUACUUCUUUAUGGUCACCCAAUUAACUGAAAGGUUCAGAAAACAAAAGGCUACUUGGUAUAUUGCUUAUGGAU